rnacentral:rRNA from 1 species
CCUACGGGAGGCAGCAGUGGGGAAUUUUGGACAAUGGGCGCAAGCCUGAUCCAGCAAUGCCGCGUGAGUGAAGAAGGCCUUCGGGUUGUAAAGCUCUUUUGUCAGGGAAGAAACGGUUGGGGCUAAUAUCCUCAGCUAAUGACGGUACCUGAAGAAUAAGCACCGGCUAACUACGUGCCAGCAGCCGCGGUAAUACGUAGGGUGCAAGCGUUAAUCGGAAUUACUGGGCGUAAAGCGUGCGCAGGCGGUUUUGUAAGUCUGUCGUGAAAGCCCCGGGCUUAACCUGGGAAUUGCGAUGGAGACUGCAAGGCUUGAAUCUGGCAGAGGGGGGUAGAAUUCCACGUGUAGCAGUGAAAUGCGUAGAGAUGUGGAGGAACACCGAUGGCGAAGGCAGCCCCCUGGGUCAAGAUUGACGCUCAUGCACGAAAGCGUGGGGAGCAAACAGGAUUAGAUACCCUGGUAGUCCACGCCCUAAACGAUGUCUACUAGUUGUCGGGUCUUAAUUGACUUGGUAACGCAGCUAACGCGUGAAGUAGACCGCCUGGGGAGUAACGGUCGCAAGAUUAAAACUUCAAAGGGAAUUGACGGGCNGAGAGNGCCGACGGACGACGACGAGGGGAGGUUAGGAG